UUUUCUGGUCGUGAUAUCGCGAGAAGACGCGGGACGACGCACCGAGAGGAGAUUACGAGCUUUCGUGACGGUAUGACGGAGCAGCUGGCACAUCACAGCAGACCACUCAGCCAUCUGGAUGACGAAACAUGCAGCUCCACCUCUGCUCUCCCUGGCUGUGAGCGUUAGGCUGUAAACGUGGCAUGUAUCUGUGACAGAUGACAGAUGUGUUGUUGACUCCUCCGGGUCUACAGCUGUACUGUAUGAUUACAUCGUCAGCAGAUCCUUUCCCCAUCGGCCUUAUUGCCAUAAUCUCAUUACACAAUCAAUGUCUGUCAAAUCAACAUUUGUAGCUAUCAUUUCUGACAAAAAAAGAUACAUUGCUCGUACUAAAUACAUCGAUUAAACAUGCAUUUUCCAGGAGCCGGUUAUCAAUAAAACUGCCUGAGUGUUACAAAGAAAUUCUUAGCAGAAAAACAGGACACAGUUAGCUUACAUGGAUGAUCACAGCAGAGAUGAACAAAUUGUUUUAAUGAUACGGUUAAAGGGGGAAAGAAUAUCCAAAUCUACUUGGCCCUAUGUGAAAAAGUAAUUGGAAUUGAACUCAGCUUUCAAAAAAUGUGGUUAAUCACAGUUUUCUCAAGACACCAGGAAGGAGGCAAAUACCAUUUUCACUGUAUAUUCAGGGUUUUUGGGCCACCCACUCAACGUUUUAAUAACUUGGUUGUGGCUGUCUGUCAAAACAUGUUUGCAUGUCCUUCCAGGCUUGAUAAAUCCUAAAGAGACAUCGGACCCCCUUUCUGUUGGAGUAAUUAAAUUAAAUACAAUUCAUUUUACUUUGUAUAGCCCAAAACCGCAAAUUACAAAUUUGCCUCAGAGGGCU